UCCUCCAAUAGAACAGAACAGAAGUCUGGAUUCACUCGGGUGUCGGCAGUGUUCAGCUGUGUGGGAAUGAAGAAGAGUAAAUGAUGGAUCUUCAGAACUCCAGCAGUGGAGGAAGACCUCCUCUCCUAAAGGAGAAGAGAGCAGCAUCUCCAGCCCCCAGUGGAGUGUCUAUGAAGAGUGAUUGGUCCAUGGAGGAACCUCUAAAGUUCAGCAGUGGAGGAGGAAGCUCUGGGUCUCGGUACAUCACUGCACUAAACUACUGUUCUGUUCUGAGAGUGAAGCUCUUCAGUUCCUGAUCUUUAUUAAAGAUGUGCUGUGUGUUGGAGUUCACUGUGUAAAUGCUGAAGUUUCACUGUGUUUAAUGUUAACAGAACUGAAACCCAGAGAGGAGCUUCUCCAGAGCCCAGCUGUGUGUCUAUGAAGAGUGACUGGUCCAUGGGGUAUCCUCCUACUUUAAGCAGUGAAGAUGUGACCUCUGACCCACAGUGAGUAAACAUCAAAGAUUAAUUACUGAAUAUUAUAGUAAUAUACCUUGUUAGUGCAUAUAACACACACACACAGAGGAGGUCGGUGUGAGAUUGUGAGUUUCUCUAUAUGUAAUGAUCAGUGUACACAGGUAUGUGUGAUGGGAUGGCAGGAUUUAGAUUAGACUGACUGACCUGAACAAGUAAAUUACAAUAUCAGCUACAGGUUGGAGAAUUACACAUACAUCUAUAUUAAGAGUGUGCGAUACUGAUAAAAAGAAAACAAUAUCUUGAUAAUUUCUGUAAUUUUGUCAGUAACGAUAAUAAACAAUAUUUUGUAUAACA
rnacentral:lncRNA from 1 species